GUUGUUUGCUAGUUGUUUGCUAGUUGUUUGCUAGUUGUUUGCUAGUUGUUUGCUAGUUGUUUGCUAGUUGUUUGCUAGUUGUUUGCUAGUUGUUUGCUAGUUGUUUUGGUUAUCCUAGCUCACCUGGUUUAGGAACAGAAACAUGAAUGUUAGUUUUCAAGAGCUUAUUAUAAAACCACCAACUCUCAAAACUCUCACUCAGCAUCUCCCACCCAUUAUUCACCCGCACCUGUUUUCCCCUUAUCAGGCCCCUUAAAAGAGCUCUCUCUCCAUUCAAUUGCCGUCUGAUCUACCCUACAUUUACCCUAGUUUACACAGACUCCUUACUGCUGCUGUGCUAACCUGUGAUCCUGUGCUUCCCUGUGGUCCUGUGCUCCUCGUUACUCCCGCUCCAGUUAAGUUCCUUUUUCCCUGCAAUCUUGUUUUUUAGUUUUCUUUGUUUGACUCCUUCAGAUCAAUAAAACUACACUUUGUUUUACUUCUGGUUCCCAGUGACAGAUGAUCGGACCUAAACUAACCUCUAUGGAUCCCCAACCAACUCUAAUAGCGGAUUCAGUCAAGGAAUUCGUCAUCGCUCUCUGGGAGGCGUUCAGUCCGGCUCCUUGCUAGCAUGGCUGCAACGCCUGCCUCCGGCAGCCCAAUGGCACUUCCGGCUUCCUGCCCCGGCGAAGCGUAUGAGUGCAGCGGCUUCCUUCAACAAGUCAAUCUCUACAUCAAAAUGCAGCUUGCCAAAUUCCUCACCGAUCACUCCUAAUCUUGCUGCUAACUGGAAAGGUUCUGUCAUGGGCCAGAGCGAUAUGAAACACCAAUAGUGUCAUUAUCACUUCAUACUCCCAUUUUACCAGUCACUUCGCUGAGGUGUUUAGUAUUUGCACCCACAAUGGCUGACCAACUCUUUAAUCUCCACCAGGGUUUUUCCUCACUGAAUGUAGUAUAGCCUCCAAUUCUGCACUUUGCCUGCCACUAGUGGCUGGAAUGAAACCGCACUGCUCGGCGCAUACCACCAGGGGCUAAAUCAGAACAUUAAGAUGGCCAAGGCAAUAUAUGACGACGUGCUGGGCCUAAAAACAUUUAUCCAGCAAGCUAUAUGCGUCUCCCAGUGGCUGGCCCCUGUCAAUCACGUGAGGCUGAACCACCACUCCUUCCAACUGUCCCUUCCAUCCCCGAACCAGAACCCAUGCAGUUUAGUAUCCAACGGCUAUCGAGGAGAGGAAGAGAAUGCUGCCUCAUGGCUGGAGCAUGCCUAUAUUGUGGUGAUUCCGUUCACUUUAUAAGCCAGUGCCCUGUCAGAUCCCCACAUCCUUUGGUGAGUACAGUCAAGAUCACCUCAGAGAUAACCCAAAUUUCUAAAUUGACGGUCAAAAUUGGUGGUUCAUAGUAGAGGUGGACGCCGCCACUGUCCCACCAUACGGGUAAUCCUGCACACCUUCAACCCUGAGCCUUAUACUCCUAGAAACUCUCUCCCGCUGAACAAAACUAUGAUAUUGGUAAUCGAGAACUCUUGGCGAUCAAACUGGCUCUAGAGGAGCUGGUUGGAGAGGGCGGCGCACUCAUUUACCAUUAUCACCAAUCAAAAGAACCUCCAAUACCUCCGGGAAGCAAAACCUCUGUCAGGCCAGAUGGGCGUUAUUCUUCACACGUUUUACCUAUGCGAUCACCUAUCUUCCUGGCAAAAAUGGUAAAGCGGAUGCCCUCUCAAGAAUCUAUGCCCAAGACGACCCCACGGAUCCAGAACCUGUCAUUCCCCCAAUCUCAUCCUUAGUUCCAUAGUCUGGAACAUCAAUUAGGAGAUUAGAACUGCAACCCCUUGGGAACCUGCCCCACAAGAAUGCCCUGCGGGGAGGUCAUUCGUCCCAAAUACCUGCCGUCAGCUCCUGUUGCGGUCAGUCCAUGAGGUCCUGGGCUCGGGCCACCCGGACAAGAGGCAGACCCUCCUUAUUUUUCUGAUCCUUACUGGUCCUGUGCUUCCCUGCAAUCCUGUGCUUCCCUGUGGUCCUGUGCUCCUCAUUACACCUGCUCCAGUUAAGUUCCUUUUUCCCUGCACUCUUGUUUCUUAGUUUCCUUUGUUUGACUCUUUCAGAUCAAUAAAACUACACCAUGUUUUA